CGUUCCCGGGCCUUGUACACACCGCCCGUCACGUCACGAAAGUCGGCAACACCCGAAGCCGGUGGCCUAACCCCGUGAGGGGAGGGAGCCGUCGAAGGUGGGGCUGGCGAUUGGGACG
rnacentral:rRNA from 1 species